rnacentral:rRNA from 1 species
AGAGUUUGAUCAUGGCUCAGAAUCAACGCUGGCGGCGCGCUUAACACAUGCAAGUCGCACAAGAAAGUGGAGCAAUCCAUGAGUAAAGUGGCGUACGGGUGAGUAACACGUGGAUGAUCUACCUCUUGGUGGGGAAUAACCCUGGGAAACCGGGGCUAAUACCGCAUAAGCCUGCAAAGGGAAAGCAGCAAUGCGCCGAGAGAGGAGUCCGCGGCCGAUUAGCUAGUUGGUAGGGUAAUGGCCUACCAAGGCAAUGAUCGGUAGCCGGCCUGAGAGGGCACACGGCCACACUGGCACUGAAACACGGGCCAGACUCCUGCGGGAGGCAGCAGUGGGGAAUCUUGCACAAUGGAGGAAACUCUGAUGCAGCGACGCCGCGUGAGCGAUGAAGCCCUUCGGGGUGUAAAGCUCUUUCGACGGGAACGAUAAUGACGGUACCCGGAGAAGAAGCUGCGGCUAACUACGUGCCAGCAGCCGCGGUAAUACGUAGGCAGCAAGCGUUGUUCGGAAUUACUGGGCGUAAAGAGUGUGUAGGCGGUUCUCUAAGUUCGGUGUGAAAUCUCCCGGCUUAACUGGGAGGGUGCGCCGAAAACUGGAGGGCUUGAGUAUGGGAGAGGAAAGCGGAAUUCCUGGUGUAGCGGUGAAAUGCGUAGAUAUCAGGAGGAACACCUGCGGUGUAGACGGCUCUCUGGACCAUCACUGACGCUGAGACACGAAAGCGUGGGUAGCAAACAGGAUUAGAUACCCUAGUAGUCC